AGUAAAGUUAGUUUAAAUUAAAAAUGAUAAAUUGUGGUUUUAUAGAUAAAUCUUGAUUUACUUUAUU
rnacentral:tRNA from 1 species